UGGUGACAUCGUUAGCAAGGUAAACCUCAUGCGCUGAAAGACCAAAUAAACCAAGGUUACUUUGUUGAAGAGUUGCUCGCUCAACUUGGAGGGUAGGUCGCUCGAGCUAAUUAGUGAUAAUUAGCCUAGAUAAAUGAUGGACCUCGACAGAAUCCGGCUUAUAGGUUUAACUUUUUU
rnacentral:RNase_P_RNA from 1 species